GACUUUCGUCUUUCGUGUUGUUUGUGUGUUUCUGGUCCAGAGAUAUAACCUCAAUUUUAGUGCUUUUGCUUUUGUACUUUUUCAUUUUCAUCCUAAUUUACAAGAGUUCAAUACUAAUUUGUUGAGUGACUAACUGUGGGUGAUCUUUGAUAAGUCAAAGUCUUCUGAGUGUCAUUGAAGGACAAAUGCCUGGCAUUUUUCAUCUUCGAUGUUGUGUUCUUGUGUAACUUCAAAUACUCGGUGCCCAUUAGAUUUUUCAAAACCAUUUGCACUUUGCCCCUUGGAUUGCAAACUUUCUAAUAAUUUACUAUGUUUCCAAGUGUAAUCUUUCCCAUGGGUUUACAAGAACCCUCAGCAUGUCUAUCACCUCAGCCAAAUCUUAUCUUUAAAAAAUAUGGAACGAGUGGAAUUCCUAAUUGAGUUGCGUUUGCAUAGUCUUAAUGGCGGUGGGCAGUAAAACGACAAUGUCUGAAGCUGCACCAUCAUCGAAUGUCAAUGUCAUCUAUUGGAGUGUAAAGCAUGUCAAACAGUGGCUGCAUGAGAAAGGGUACGAUGAGCGGCUGCGAUCAACAUUCGAAAAAAUCGCAUUGACGGAAAAGCGUUGCUGCUCCUCAAUGAUUCCGACCUCCGAUCUCCGUUGCUCAACAUAACUGCUCUAGGUGAUAUGAAAAGGCUGAAUCUAGAUAUCAGACAACUGAAAGCAGACAAUCGUCAAUCUAUCCAAGAGCUUGGGUUCGAUCCGACAUCUCUUCUGCAUCUCUCACCUUGCUCACCGUAUGGUAAAGGGCUCUCCUCAUCCAAUCCUUAUUAUUACGAUUCAUAUAAUGAAUUAGGAUACACGGAUCCUGAUGUCUGCUACACGCACUCAACGCCGUCAUCAGAAGAUGGCCUGGCAACCAAACUGAGACCUGAGGUAAGUUCUUUUUUCAACAUCUUUCACUCCUACAGAAUGCAAUUCAUAGAAAUGUUGCAAAGGAAUUUACUAUCCAAAAAUUUGUCU
rnacentral:lncRNA from 1 species